GUCUGGCUGAAUAGUCCCGAACAGGACGAAACGCGUGUCCUGAAU
rfam:Schistosoma haematobium scaffold728_1, whole genome shotgun sequence.